rnacentral:rRNA from 1 species
GAUGAACGCUGGCGGCGUGCCUAAUACAUGCAAGUCGAGCGAUCAGACGAGUAGCUUGCUCCUCUGACGUUAGCGGCGGCCGGGUGAGUAACACGUGGCUAACUUACCUAUAAGAAUGGGAUAACUUCGUGAAACCGGAGCUAAUACCGGAUAAUAUAUUGAACCGCAUGGUUCUAUAGUUAAAGACGGUUUUGCUGUCACUUAUAGAUGGAUCCGCGCAGCAUUAGCUAGUUGGUAAGGCAACGGCUUUCCAAGGCUACGAUGUGUAGCCGAACUGAGAGGAUGAUCGGCCACACGGGAACUGAGACACGGUCCAGACUCCUACGGGAGGCAGCAGUAGGGAAUCUUCCGCAAUGGGCGAAAGCCUGACGCAGCAAUGCCGCGUGAGUGAUGAAGGUCUUCGGAUCGUAAAACUCUGUUAUUAGGGAAGAACAAAUUUGUAAGUAACUAUGCACGUCUUGACGGUACCUAAUCAGAAAGCCACGGCUAACUACGUG